UACGAAGGGUGCAAGCGUUAAUCGGAAUUACUGGGCGUAAAGCGUGCGUAGGUGGUUUUUUAAGUCUGCUGUGAAGGCCCUGGGCUCAACCUGGGAAUGGCGGUGGAUACUGAAAAGCUAGAGUGCGGUAGAGGAGGGUGGAAUUCCCGGUGUAGCGGUGAAAUGCGUAGAGAUCGGGAGGAACAUCAGUGGCGAAGGCGGCCCUCUGGACCAGCACUGACGCUGAGGCACGAAAGCGUGGGGAGCAAACAGG
rnacentral:rRNA from 1 species